UAGGCGACUGCUCCCGCGAGGUCAGAGCCGGGCUGUGCCGCUGCCCCCGGGACUAGAAAGGGAAAUCUCCUUGCUAGAGGAGGAAGCCCUAAGAACUCAAGGGAGAUAGGGGUGGCAGGGGCAUUUCCCUGGAUGCCUGGAGCAUGGAGGGUGCGAAAUAAGGAGGCUUUCCUACCCCAUUGAUGAGCUGAAGUUGAUUCCGCACGGGGGAGGAAAGGGACAGGAAGCAUAAUUGGAUGUGCAAGCCUGUGGUUCUUCAGGAAGUUAACACGUGGAACUAACACUGUUGGAUGCUGCUGAACUCUCAGGUGAUUGAUGUGACUAACCUCCUCAGAAAAAUCAUCAUUGACAUCCAACACCAGCACUGGAAUGUUCAUCAGAGCCUCAAAGUGGAGCCUAUAAGAAGCGUGAACGUUUGGGGGACAGAAAAAAAGAAAUGUAACUUGAGUCAAGUUUCACAUACUCGCCAAGUCUUACUCAGAGAACAGAUCUAAAUUCAACAUGACUUUUCAAAGAAACUGCAUGUAAACUGCAUUUAAAAAAACAAAUUCAAUAAAGUUGGCCGGAAACAGGAGGCUUUCCGGAAGCACUAAGAAAUAGAACUAGUUUGUCUAAUUUGGAAUUAAAAGAGUAACCAACUGAGUGUCUUCAGCAGUGACAAUGAAAAUGUACCACUUCCCAUUUUGAUAAUUCAAAGAGCCUUAAGAAAGAUCGUUUUGCUUGAAAGCACUAUUUCACACUGACACUGGUCAUUCAUAGGCUUCAGAUAAGAAAAACUCCAGCAGUGUCCAGAUCAAGCCAUCCUGACUUUGUCUCUAGGCGGCUUAACCUCAAGUCACAGCCUGGUCUCUGCAGCAGAGCCAGG
rnacentral:lncRNA from 1 species